rnacentral:rRNA from 1 species
GAUGAACGCUGGCGGCGUGCCUAAUACAUGCAAGUCGAGCGAAUGGAUUAAGAGCUUGCUCUUAUGAAGUUAGCGGCGGACGGGUGAGUAACACGUGGGUAACCUGCCCAUAAGACUGGGAUAACUCCGGGAAACCGGGGCUAAUACCGGAUAACAUUUUGAAACGCAUGGUUCGAAAUUGAAACGCGGCCUCGGCUGUCACUUAUGGAUGGACCCGCGUCGCAUUAGCUAGUUGGUGAGGUAACGGCUCACCAAGGCAACGAUGCGUAGCCGACCUGAGAGGGUGCUCGGCCACACUGGGACUGAGACACGGCCCAGACUCCUACGGGAGGCAGCAGUAGGGAAUCUUCCGCAAUGGACGAAAGUCUGACGGAGCAACGCCGCGUGAGUGAUGAAGGCUUUCGGGUCGUAAAACUCUGUUGUUAGGGAAGAACAAGUGCUAGUUGAAUAAGCUGGCACCUUGACGGUACCUAACCAGAAAGCCACGGCUAACUACGUGCCAGCCGCCGCGGUAA